rnacentral:rRNA from 1 species
AUAGUAAAGACAGGUGGGGCGCCUAAAAAUUAGAAUGGCGGGUGGAAGAGCGGAAAGAGGGGUGGAAUCCCGUCCCACGGUUGAAUAAGGUUUUCAGGGGAAAGGCUCGUUCGGUCUGGGUUUUGCGGGUUCUAAGCUGAGGCCGACAGGCGUAGGCGAUGGGUAACAGGUUGAUCUUCCUGUACCACCCAUUAUCGUUUUAAUCGGAGGGGGGACGCAGUAGGAUCGGCGAAGCGUGCGAUUGUAUUGCAGGUCUAAGCCGUAAGGCUGAGUAUUAGGCAAAUCCGGUACUCGUUACGGCUAAGCUGUGAUGGGGCGACGACAUCGUGCGUUGUAGUCGUUUCUUUCCAACUCACGAGAAAACCCUCUUCUUAGUCCUUACGUGCAUGUACCCCAAA